ensembl:lncRNA
UGUGUGUGAGAGAGAGUACCUCUGUGUGUGUGAGAGAGUACCUCUGUACCUCUGUGUGUGUGUGAGAGCGACUGUGUGUGUGUGUGAGAGAGACUCUGUGUGUCUGUGAGAGAGUACCUCUGUGUGUGUGUGUGUGUCUGUGAGAGCGACUGUGUGUGUGAGAGAGCGACUGUGUGUGUGAGAGAGCGACUGUGUGUGUCUGUGAGAGCGACUGUGUGUGUCUGAGAGCGACUGUGUGUCUGUGAGAGCGACUGUGUGUCUGUGAGAGCGACUGUGUGUGUGUGAGAGCGACUGUGUGUCUGUGAGAGCGACUGUGUGUGUCUGUGAGAGCGACUGUGUGUGUCUGUGAGAGCGACUGUGUGUGUGUGUCUGAGAGUGACUGUGUGUGUGUCUGGGUGUCUGUGAGAGUGACUGUCUGUGUGUCUGUGAGAGUGAUUGUGUCUGUGAGUCUGUGAGUGACUGUGUCUGUGAGAGUGACUGUGUGCGUGUGUCUGUGAGAGUGACUGUGUGCGUGUGUCUGUGAGAGUGACUGUGUGCGUGUGUCUGUGAGAGUGAC